CUACUUACCUGGCAGGGGCAACACCAUGAUCACGCAGGUGGUUUGCCCGGGGCGAGGCGCAGCCACUGCACUCUGGCUGUGCUGACCCCUGCGAGUUCCCCUACUGUGGGAAUCUCGACUGCACAAUUUCUGCUCCAGGGGGACUGCGUCCGUGCUCUCUUUUC
ensembl:snRNA U1 U1 spliceosomal RNA